GGAAAGUCGAGUUCCCGUUUGAUCACUGAAGUUAAGCAAUAGCGAGCCUGGUCAGUAUCUAGAUGGGUGACCGCUCGGGAAUACCAUGUGCUGUAAG
rnacentral:rRNA from 1 species